rnacentral:rRNA from 1 species
GACGAACGCUGGCGGCGUGCCUAAUACAUGCAAGUAGAACGCACAGUUUAUACCGUAGCUUGCUACACCAUAGACUGUGAGUUGCGAACGGGUGAGUAACGCGUAGGUAACCUGCCUGGUAGCGGGGGAUAACUAUUGGAAACGAUAGCUAAUAUCGCAUAAUAUUAAUUAUUGCAUGAUAAUUAAUUGAAAGGUGCAAUUGCACCACUACCAGAUGGACCUGCGUUGUAUUAGCUAGUAGGUGAGGUAACGGCUGACCUAGGCGACGAUACAUAGCCGAACGGAGAGGGUGGUCGGCCAAACUGGGACUGGGACACGGCCCAGACCCCUACGGGAGGCAGCAGUAGGGAAACUUCGGCAAUGGGCGAAAGUCUGACCGGGCAACGCCGCGGGAGUGAAGAAGGUUUUCGGGUCGUAAAGCUCUGUUGUAAGGGAAGAACGGGUGUGAGAGUGGAAAGUUCACACUGUGACGGUAUCUUACCAGAAAGGGACGGCUAACUACGUG